rnacentral:rRNA from 1 species
GAUGAACGCUGGCGGCGUGCCUAAUACAUGCAAGUCGAGCGAACGGACGAGAAGCUUGCUUCUCUGAUGUUAGCGGCGGACGGGUGAGUAACACGUGGAUAACCUACCUAUAAGACUGGGAUAACUUCGGGAAACCGGAGCUAAUACCGGAUAAUAUUUUGAACCGCAUGGUUCAAAAGUGAAAGACGGUCUUGCUGUCACUUAUAGAUGGAUCCGCGCCGCAUUAGCUAGUUGGUAAGGUAACGGCUUACCAAGGCAACGAUGCAUAGCCGACCUGAGAGGGUGAUCGGCCACACUGGAACUGAGACACGGUCCAGACUCCUACGGGAGGCAGCAGUAGGGAAUCUUCCGCAAUGGGCGAAAGCCUGACGGAGCAACGCCGCGUGAGUGAUGAAGGUCUUCGGAUCGUAAAACUCUGUUAUUAGGGAAGAACAUAUGUGUAAGUAACUGUGCACAUCUUGACGGUACCUAAUCAGAAAGCCACGGCUAACUACGUGCCAGCAGCCGCGGUAAUACGUAGGUGGCAAGCGUUAUCCGGAAUUAUUGGGCGUAAAGCGCGCGUAGGCGGUUUUUUAAGUCUGAUGUGAAAGCCCACGGCUCAACCGUGGAGGGUCAUUGGAAACUGGAAAACUUGAGUGCAGAAGAAGAAAGUGGAAUUCCAUGUGUAGCGGUGAAAUGCGCAGAGAUAUGGAGGAACACCAGUGGCGAAGGCGACUUUCUGGUCUGUAACUGACGCUGAUGUGCGAAAGCGUGGGGAUCAAACAGGAUUAGAUACCCUGGUAGUCCACGCCGUAAACGAUGAGUGCUAAGUGUUAGGGGGUUUCCGCCCCUUAGUGCUGCAGCUAACGCAUUAAGCACUCCGCCUGGGGAGUACGACCGCAAGGUUGAAACUCAAAGGAAUUGACGGGGACCCGCACAAGCGGUGGAGCAUGUGGUUUAAUUCGAAGCAACGCGAAGAACCUUACCAAAUCUUGACAUCCUUUGACAACUCUAGAGAUAGAGCUUUCCCCUUCGGGGGACAAAGUGACAGGUGGUGCAUGGUUGUCGUCAGCUCGUGUCGUGAGAUGUUGGGUUAAGUCCCGCAACGAGCGCAACCCUUAAGCUUAGUUGCCAUCAUUAAGUUGGGCACUCUAAGUUGACUGCCGGUGACAAACCGGAGGAAGGUGGGGAUGACGUCAAAUCAUCAUGCCCCUUAUGAUUUGGGCUACACACGUGCUACAAUGGACAAUACAAAGGGCAGCGAAACCGCGAGGUCAAGCAAAUCCCAUAAAGUUGUUCUCAGUUCGGAUUGUAGUCUGCAACUCGACUACAUGAAGCUGGAAUCGCUAGUAAUCGUAGAUCAGCAUGCUACGGUGAAUACGUUCCCGGGUCU